rnacentral:rRNA from 1 species
GNNGAACGCACAAGACGUGCCUAACACAUGCAAAUCGAAUGAAAACAAUUUAAUUAAAUUGUUUUCAUGGUGAACGGGUGAGUAACACAUAAGAAUCAGCUUUUAGAUAAGGCAUAAAAGAGUAAUAUCUUGGUAAUUCCUUAUAUGCGCAGCAGUGCUUAAAAAGGGGACUCCCGUCUAAAAACGAGCUUAUGCCUGAUUAGCUAGUUGGCGAGUUAAAAGCUCACCAAGGCGAAGAUCAGUAGCUGGCCUGAGAGGGCGGCCAGCCACAUUGGGACUGAGACACGGCCCAAACUCCUACGGGAGGCAGCAGUGGGGAAUCUUCUGCAAUGGGCGCAAGCCUGACAGAGCGGCGUCAUGUGAAGGAAGAAGGCCUGAAAUAGGUUGUAAACUUCUUUUACUGAGUAAUGAAUACUGACAACGCAGUAAAAAAGUAUCGGCUAACUCCGUGCCAGCAGCCGCGGUAAU